rnacentral:rRNA from 1 species
CCUACGGGUGGCAGCAGUAGGGAAUAUUGCUCAAUGGGGGAAACCCUGAAGCAGCAACGCCGCGUGGAGGAUGAAGGUUUUCGGAUUGUAAACUCCUUUUGUUAGAGAAGAUAAUGACGGUAUCUGACGAAUACGCACCGGCUAACUCCGUGCCAGCAGCCGCGGUAAUACGGAGGGUGCAAGCGUUACUCGGAAUCACUGGGCGUAAAGGGCGCGUAGGCGGGAUAGCAAGUCAGAUGUGAAAUCCUAUGGCUUAACCAUAGAACUGCAGUUGAAACUGUUAUUCUAGAGUAUGGGAGUGGUAGGUGGAAUUUUUGGUGUAGGGGUAAAAUCCGUAGAGAUCAAGAGGAAUACUCAUUGCGAAGGCGACCUGCUAGAACAUAACUGACGCUGAUGCGCGAAAGCGUGGGGAGCAAACAGGAUUAGAUACCCCAGUAGUC